CAUUGAAACACUGGUUCCUGUAUGAUCACAGAAGUUAUGCAACAUUGAGCAUGGUCAGUGCCUAGAUGGGUAACCGCUUGGGAAUACCUGGUGCUAU